GAGAGACUGCAGGAAUGGUAAGAGAUAGGAGAAAUGGAAGAAGAAGAGAGAAAAGCUGCUAGGAGUUCCAGGAACACAGCUAGAUCCAGCAUCUGUCUUUCUGCCUAGAUGGUGCCUGCAAGAAUGGACUGCCUGGAGGGUCAGUAUCAGAAGAGAAACAGAAACUGGAGUUACAUGACUGCCAAGAGGUAACAUGAAAAGUAUCAAGAUCUUUCAGGAUGUUCACAAAUGGCUGGGCUCAUUUCAGUAUCAAGAAAAGUCUGAACUUCACUGAUUAAUGCCCUGCUUGCAUCUAUAAAUUGUGUACCUAAAUAUUUUUGCCAACCUGUCACAAGCCUGACUCAGUGCUGUCUGCUGGGGAGUUACAUGACUGCUAAAGUAACUUACUGAUAUGCAAUUUCUGUACUAGAAAUGACAAUACUAUAAAUAGUUCCAACUAUCACUAGCAAUAUAUAUUGAUUUCGGUCUAUGGUACCAAAUGAAAGUAACCCAAACACUCCAGAAUAUGGGAAAUAUGUAGUGCAAUGCAGCAUCUUUUAAUGAGGAUCUUACUGCAAAACACAGAAUGAUUCCUCCUAGUGACCUGGGAGUCUGGAGUCUCAAGUACUAACAGACAGGAAAUGCUCUGGCAUGAGAAUUACUAGUAUUAGGUUUGUGGUAACUUUUUAAAAUCGCUUAUCUGCUGAAAACUUUCCGCUUAAAUCAAAAUGUAAAUAGUGAGGCAAAUUGAGAGAAGUUAAACCUUUUUUGUAAAACAGAUUUUAUAACCAGGUUUUAAAAACACAGGUGAAUUAAUACAAUAAUAAAGGAUUUUGUGAUCCCUUAA